GAUGGGAGCUUGCUCCCUGAAGUCAGCGGCGGACGGGUGAGUAACACGUGGGCAACCUGCCUGUAAGACUGGGAUAACUCCGGGAAACCGGGGCUAAUACCGGAUAAUUCUUUCCCUCACAUGAGGGAAAGCUGAAAGAUGGUUUCGGCUAUCACUUACAGAUGGGCCCGCGGCGCAUUAGCUAGUUGGUGAGGUAACGGCUCACCAAGGCAACGAUGCGUAGCCGACCUGAGAGGGUGAUCGGCCACACUGGGACUGAGACACGGCCCAGACUCCUACGGGAGGCAGCAGUAGGGAAUCUUCCGCAAUGGACGAAAGUCUGACGGAGCAACGCCGCGUGAGUGAUGAAGGUUUUCGGAUCGUAAAACUCUGUUGUUAGGGAAGAACAAGUACCGGAGUAACUGCCGGUACCUUGACGGUACCUAACCAGAAAGCCACGGCUAACUACGUGCCAGCAGCCGCGGUAAUACGUAGGUGGCAAGCGUUGUCCGGAAUUAUUGGGCGUAAAGCGCGCGCAGGCGGUUCCUUAAGUCUGAUGUGAAAGCCCCCGGCUCAACCGGGGAGGGUCAUUGGAAACUGGGGAACUUGAGUGCAGAAGAGAAGAGUGGAAUUCCACGUGUAGCGGUGAAAUGCGUAGAGA
rnacentral:rRNA from 1 species